GAUGAAGAACGUAGCGAAAUGCGAUAAGUAAUGUGAAUUGCAGAAUUCAGUGAAUCAUCGAAUCUUUGAACGCACCUUGCACCCUUUGGCAUUCUGAAGGGUAUGCUCGUUUGAGUGUCAUUGUACUCUCACACUCCCGAUCUUUGCAUUGGGAGCAGUGGACUUGGGUUUGCUGCUUCACCGUCGCUUACCUCAAAUAGGUUAGUGCAACUCUUGGUUGGACAUAGUACGGCGUGAUAAGUGUUCUUCGCCGGUGCCUCGCAAAGAGGGUGGCCGAUCGGGAUGUUGUGCUCCAAACCGUCUUCGGACAAUCUCUGACGACUUGACCUCAAAUCGAGUAAGACUACCCGCUGAACUUAAGCAUAUCAAUAAGCGGAGGG
rnacentral:misc_RNA from 1 species